rnacentral:rRNA from 1 species
UACGGGGGGUGCAAACGUUGCUCGGAAUUAUUGGGCGUAAAGCGCACGUAGGCGGUCCUGUAAGUCGGGUGUGAAAGCCCCAGGCUUAACCUGGGAAGUGCACUCGAAACUGAAUGGCUUGAAUGCAAAAGAGGGUCGCGGAAUUCCCGGUGUAGAGGUGAAAUUCGUAGAUAUCGGGAGGAACACCGGUGGCGAAGGCGGCGACCUGGGUUGACAUUGACGCUGAGGCGCGAAAGCGUGGGGAGCAAACAGG